rnacentral:rRNA from 1 species
AUUGAACGCUGGCGGCAGGCCUAACACAUGCAAGUCGGACGGAGUGGCGGACGGGUGAGUAACGCGUAGGUAACUGCCUCAUAGCGGGGGAUAACUAUUGGUAACGAAAACUAAUACCGCAACCUAUCAGAUGGAGCUGCAUUGUAUUAGCUAGUUGGUGUGGUAAAGGCUCACCAAGGCAACGAUACAUAGCCGACCUGAGAGGGGGAUCGGCCACACUGGGACUGAGACACGGCCCAGACUCCUACGGGAGGCAGCAGUAGGGAAUCUUCGGCAAUGGGGGGAAGCCUGACCGAGCAACGCCGCGUGAGUGAAGAAGGUUUUCGGAUCGUAAAGCUCUGUUGUUAGGGAAGCGGUACCUAACCAGAAAGGGACGGCUAACUACGUGCCAGCAGCCGCGGUAAUUC